rnacentral:rRNA from 1 species
GGAGCCUAUACUGCAGUCGAGCGAGCUUGCCUAGAUGAUUUUAGUGCUUGCACUAAAUGAAACUAGAUACAAGCGACCGUCGGACGGGUGAGUAACACGUGGGUAACCUGCCCAAGAGACUGGGAUAACACCUGGAAACAGAUGCUAAUACCGGAUAACAACACUAGACGCAUGUCUAGAGUUUGAAAGAUGGUUCUGCUAUCACUCUUGGAUGGACCUGCGGUGCAUUAGCUAGUUGGUAAGGUAACGGCUUACCAAGGCAAUGAUGCAUAGCCGAGUUGAGAGACUGAUCGGCCACAUUGGGACUGAGACACGGCCCAAACUCCUACGGGAGGCAGCAGUAGGGAAUCUUCCACAAUGGACGAAAGUCUGAUGGAGCAACGCCGCGUGAGUGAAGAAGGGUUUCGGCUCGUAAAGCUCUGUUGGUAGUGAAGAAAGAUAGAGGUAGUAACUGGCCUUUAUUUGACGGUAAUUACUUAGAAAGUCACGGCUAACUACCUGCCAGCAGCCGCGGUAAUACGUAGGUGGCAAGCGUUGUCCGGAUUUAUUGGGCGUAAAGCGAGUGCAGGCGGUUCAAUAAGUCUGAUGUGAAAGCCUUCGGCUCAACCGGAGAAUUGCAUCAGAAACUGUUGAACUUGAGUGCAGAAGAGGAGAGUGGAACUCCAUGUGUAGCGGUGGAAUGCGUAGAUAUAUGGAAGAACACCAGUGGCGAAGGCGGCUCUCUGGUCUGCAACUGACGCUGAGGCUCGA